AUUCCGUGAUGAUGGUACUUCCAUAACAAUUCUUUAUACCUUUCCCAUGCCUUAUUCAAGGAUUCAUCAUCCAUUUCUUGGAAAGCAGUGAUCUUGUUCCUCAACUU
rfam:Gossypium raimondii chromosome 6, whole genome shotgun sequence.